GUUGCGUGGAAUGGACUACUCGAACGUGUCAAUCGGAUAUCGGACGAAGAAAAUAUCAACAAAAUUGUUUAAAGGGAAAAUUAGUCUUUUCACAAAUAGACCGACCUGGGAUGCCCUUAUCGAAGCGAGUGGGUGUACUAGUAAUUCUGUUGGUCUUAUCUCCAAACCGAUCAUGGUGAAACUCAUUUCUUUUCUUCCAUCUUCUUUCUUCUUCCUUCUUCUCCUCUGCUCCUCUGUUCUUCCUUCUUUUCUUCUUUCUGUCGGCUUUAAGUCGACGAAGUGAGAUUGGUUUGAUGUGGGUGAUUCGUAAAAGCUUGUAGUUUCGUCGAUGGAGAAGGUGAUGGUGUUGAAGUUAAUUGAGAACCAGGAGAAGAGAUGUGAUGUUACUGUAAGUUGAUUUUAGGGUUUUCUUUGGGGAAGAAGUAGAUGAAUCAUAAGAAAUAGGAGGGGGUAUUAUCGAUUGAAGGUUACGGUGGACUCAAACAAAGAGGAAGAUGAUUGGUAGAUGAUUUUGGAUUUAGGGUUAGGGUUUCAUAAGAAAAUACUCAAAAGAGGUUUGGAAGAUGAAAUUGAUGUUAUAGAACGACGAUUAAGGAUGGUUUUAGCCUGAAUUAGAGUUUGAAGUUAAUCAAUAGCUUGAAAUUGAGAGUAAGGGUUUGAUUAUGUUUUAAUGACGAUUGUUGGGAGUUGGUUUUGGUGAACUGAUGGAUUAAGAGGAGAUUGUGAUGGAAUUGGUAAUGAGAAAUUAAAAGAGGAAGAUCUCUGAAUCGAAUCAAGCUACAGAUGAAUCUAAUUCAAUUGCAGUACUGAGACUAUAUUGAGGUGGAAUGAGGUGCUAAUGGUGUUUCUAAUAUUUCGAGUGGAGUGUUAACUGCUAUUGUUUAGGUAGAUAGUGGUGUUGCAGUUCAUUGAUUGGAUUGAUGAAUUACAAGAUUUCGGAAAUGUUGAUUGAAGAAUAGAUUGAGACAUUAUUGGGGAUAUGAAUAUGAAGUUGCAAUUACAGUCUAGUGAUGGGUGGUGUGGUCUGUGUAUUGGAGUUUGAGGAUUAAAUGUUUGGGGUGGAGGUUUAUGUAAUUGGAGCUGCAGGUGACAUCGUCUUGUUGUGCAGUUGUUGAAGUUAAUGUUGCAGAUUGAAGUUGAAAUUAUGGUUGAUUACUGAGUUUGAAUAUCAGUUGAAGUUAAUGAAUGCAGUUAGUGUUAGUAGUGCCUAAGUUGAAGUUAAUGAAUGCAGUUAGUGUUAGUGGUUGAGUGUUGUUCUUGCAGUGAGUUUUUAUGUGAUAGAAGUGUUGGGAAUGAGGGUUAGAUGAGGUUGUUGAGUAAAUCUUUAAGGGAAAGCUUGUUACUGCUUUUGCAGGUAAUCUUAAAUUACAGAUGUAUUAAAUUAUAGAAUUUUGUUUAAAUGAAGAAAUUGUGUAAUGUUGUAAUG